UACGUAGGGGGGCAAGCGUUUGUCCGGAAUCAUUGGGCGUAAAGCGCGUGUAGGCGGCUUGAUAAGUCCGCUCUGAAAGCCCGGGGCUCAACCCCGGGAGGCGGGUGGAUACUGUCAAGCUCGAGUCCGGAAGAGGCGAGUGGAAUUCCUGGUGUAGCGGUGAAAUGCGCAGAUAUCAGGAGGAACACCAAUGGCGAAGGCGGAUCUCUGGGCCUUACCUGACGCUCAGGCGCGAAAGCUAGGGGAGCGAACUGG
rnacentral:rRNA from 1 species